rnacentral:rRNA from 1 species
GACGAACGCUGGCGGCGUGCCUAAUACAUGCAAGUCGAACGCAGUGGGGACGGUUGAGUAACACGUGGCUAACCUCCCAUCAGAGGGGAUAACACUUGGAAACAGGUGCUAAACCGAUAUUGAUGUAUGGAGCUGCUGUGCAUUAGCUAGUUGGUGAGGUAACGGCUCACCAAGGCCACGAUGCCUAGCCGACCUGAGAGGGUGAUCGGCCACACUGGGACUGAGACACGGCCCAGACUCCGACGGGAGGCAGCAGUAGGGAAUCUUGGGCAAUGGACGAAAGUCUGACCGAGCAACGCCGCGUGAGUGAAGAAGGUUUUCGGAUCGUAAAACUCUGUUGUUAGAGAAGCGGUAUCUAACCAGAAAGCCACGGCUAACUACGUGCCAGCAGCCGCGGUAAUUC